GACGAACGCUGGCGGCGUGCCUAACACAUGCAAGUCGAACGGACAGGCCCUGCUUUUGUGGGGUGCUCGAGUGGCGAACGGGUGAGUAACACGUGAGUAACCUGCCCCUGACUUUGGGAUAUCCUCAUGAAACUGGGGCUAAUACCGGAUAGGAGCACCUGCUUCUUGGUGGGCGUUGGAAAGUUUCGGCGGUUGGGUAUGGACUCGCGGCUUAUCAGCUUGUUGGUGGGGUAGUGGCUUACCAAGGCUUUGACGGGUAGGCGGCCUGAGAGGGUGACCGGCCACAUUGCGACUGAGAUACGGCACAGACUCAUACGGGAGGCAGGAGUGGAGAAUAGUGCACAAUGGGCGGAAGCAUAAUGCAGCGACGCCGCGUGCGGGGUAACGGCCUUCGGGUUGUAAUCCGCUUUCGCCUGUGACGAAGCGUGAGUGACGGUAAUGGGUAAAGAAGCACCGGCUAACUACGUG
rnacentral:rRNA from 1 species